AACGCUGGGCAGGUAGAGAACAAGUCAGACUGCCUAAAGCACAGGAGUUCCCAUUCCAUUCCUGCUCUUAAAGAGACAGCUCCAGCCACCACCCCACCACUGACAGGAGCUCCCUGGGGUCCAAGACUGAGGUGGUGGGCCAACCACAAGCUCUGGAUGGAGAGUCAGCCAGCAAUGUGGGAAGGGCCCAAGCAAGCACUGUGCAACCAGGUAACCUCAUGCAUGAGCCAAGGUGGAAAACUGGACUAUAAGGACUGCCUUGAUGGUUGGGUAUCCUCAGAGGUUGAGUAUAUGUGACUGGGAUGUGUCUGGAAUAAAAAGUGAGUGGGGAAUUCUAA